AAGGUGGGGCUGAUGACUGGGGUGAAGUCGUAACAAGGUAUCCGUACCGGAAGGUGCGGAUGGAUCACCUCCUAACAGGGAGACAACACAAUGAUUUUGAUGCCUGAGUACUUUUAUUCUUAGGCCGAAAUCCUGUCACCUUAGGUCGAUCGGUACCUCAGCUUUGAAGUUAAGGAUCAGCAGCAAUGUUGAUUGCUUGAUGGAAAUUUUCAGUUCCUAAACUUUGUCUAGGUCACACCCCAAAAGGGAUGAGACUCCUGGGCCAUUAGCUCAGGUGGUUAGAGCGCACCCCUGAUAAGGGUGAGGUCCCUGGUUCAAGUCCAGGAUGGCCCAUUCGGUGUUGGGGGUUUAGCUCAGUUGGUAGAGCGCCUGCUUUGCAAGCAGGAUGUCAGGAGUUCGAGUCUCCUAACCUCCACUGACCGAACUUGAUUCCCAUCUCCAAUUUUUUGGAGUUGAGCUCGAUUGGAGUGUGAUUUAGAUGUGUCCGCUGGAUGACCCCAGCUUCCUGUCAUUCCAAGUUUUAGGUUAAAGCCUUGAAUUUGGUUGAUAAGAUGCUGGGCUCGAAUCAAAUGAUCAAGCAAUUGAUGAUUUGAUUUGAAGUUCUAGCAGAACCUUGACAACUGCAUAGGUGAGUCUGGAAAAAACAAAGCAUCUUACAGAUGCAUUGUUUUGAAUCUGAUCUUCUGAAAGGGAGAUUGGAUCUAGAACAAUGAAAAUUCUUUUGAGCAAGAGCCGAGACUCUUGAAUGUUCUUUGAUUGGUGUCGAGCCAAUCAGAGUUUGAUCUUGUUUUUAGCAAUAAAAACUUGAGAAUCUGCUUUCAACGGCGGUAAGCGUUCAGGAGGUUAAUUGGUCAAGCUACAAAGGGCUC
rnacentral:misc_RNA from 1 species